rnacentral:lncRNA from 10 species
GCUUUUCCGGGGGAAGUAAGGUAGCAGAUGCCACGUUGCAGGUUCUUCUGGUGUCGGCCCUCCGGAUUCACAAUGCCAUCCGUGGCUCCAUACUCUCCCUAAAGUCAGGUUGGCUGGAUUCCCAAAGUUCACCUAAGUUGGCCCCGUUACAUUUAGUUCAAGCAAACUGAGGCCCAGAGAGCAGCUGCAACACCAAGAUUGGCCAGAAUACAGAAGACCUCGCGUCUGCAGAUCCAGGCGCUGGAAAGUGCCUGGUCCCCCUGUCUGGACCAUAGACCCCGCCCAGCACGUUAUGUGCCAGGCACUGUGCUUAACACUUAAUAAACAUGGUUUUAUUGAAUCUUCAUAAUAAUCCUGGAAAAGGAAUAUUCCUUUUUUUUUUUUUUUU